rfam:Schistosoma rodhaini strain Burundi genome assembly, scaffold: SROB_scaffold0007382
AUCCAGCUGAUGAAUCCCAAAUAGGACGAAACGCGCGUCAAAAUGGAU